UGCCCCCUUUGCAUGGAAUAUUCACCAACCAACCAAACCCGUGAUCAUCUUUUAAUAGGGACUCCAGACUUCCAAGGAGGCCUUCCCUGAUACCACAUAUCUGGGUAAUUAUAUGUGGACAUUUGCCAGGUGUUGGUGACUUGUUUAUGUGGCUGUCUUCCCUACACAUGAGCCCCUGGACCUUGUGUGAUUCAUCUCUGCUCCUCCACUCUAUCUCCACUGCCUACACAUAGCAGAUGAAUGUAACUGUUACUUUGAUUCAUCAUGUGGACAUUAUCACUGGAUAGGCCUGAAAUAGGAAGGCAUGCAAGACUCCAUGGACUAUUAGCAGUAUCUUUUUCUACAAGUCUGGACAGAACAUCAGAAAGUGUAGUUGCAGAAAGAGGCUGCUUUAGGGCCCUGAAAAUCUGGAAGGAUCUCCCAGCAUAGUGUCGAGAAGAACAAGAAAGUGCUGUUUGCAGAGCAACUUCACUAAGAUGAUGUUCCAAAUGUAUUCCUUCUGUGAAGACAAAGGAUGGAUACAAAUACGAUUAAGGCCCUCCUCAGGGAUAACUGUGUGAGCACAAAAGAAGAAAGUCUUUGGAGGCAUCAAAUUAUCUAACUAUCACACAAUACACACCUGUGUAUUCCAAAUCAAUGGAACGCCAGCAACGCAAAACAGGGUUCACCGUAGCUGACAAAUGAAAGAACGACUUAACGCAGCUAUGAGGCCGGAAUGGUGAGAGCUGAACCGUUACCUUGAGGUUAUACGGGACACAUGCGGGAAUCUUAGCGCCAGCUGAUGCAAAUCAGUGCUCCUUCCGUGGGAGCCUCGUCAGCACCAAAUUCCAGCAAGCGAGUUUGGGGGCCAACAUUGUUUUCCACAGCCUACUAUUAAAACUUAACUAUUUGGAUUUCCUGUGAGGUCUCUGCUGCCAUCUGCUGAGGAAAGUUGAAAGUGGCACUUUCCUAAUAUUUUGGCACGUUGCCUCAACAUGUGUUGAGUCCAGUGUUUCCACAAUGUGAACUGAUUUUUCUUACGGAAAGGAUUCUAUACUUUCCGCUUCAUUUUACUUGAAGAAAGAUCUCGAGAGCACGAGGAAUCUAACACAAGUUCAACAUCUUUUCCAUAACUGUGCUGAAUCAGCUAAGCACUUUUUCACUGAUCUUCAACUUACAUGUUGAGAACUUAACAUUUUUAAGACAAAGACCUUUAAAGGCAAUACAGACUCAAAUACUCCAAGCUUAAUUCUUUUCCUAGUUAAUAAAUAAUGUAUAUGGUACUUAAACUAAUAAAACUACAUUUAAAAAAAAAAGUAUUUCAACUUUUAUUUAGUUGACUUUCUCCAUUGCAGAUUUCAACUUAAUGAAGCACGAUUCCACUGUCAA